rnacentral:rRNA from 1 species
CGAUCAGCCACACUGGAACUGAGACACGGCCCAGACUCCUACGGGAGGCAGCAGUGGGGAAUAUUGCACAAUGGGCGAAAGCCUGACGGAGCAACGCCGCGUGAGUGAUGACGGCCUUCGGGUUGUAAAGCUCUGUUAAUCGGGACGAAAGGCCUUCUUGCGAAUAGUUAGAAGGAUUGACGGUACCGGAAUAGAAAGCCACGGCUAACUACGUGCCAGCAGCCGCGGUAAUACGUAGGUGGCAAGCGUUGUCCGGAAUUAUU